ensembl:lncRNA
AGAGAGAGAGAGGGGGUGAGACAGACAGAGAGCGAGAGGGGGUGAGAUACAGAGAGAGGGGGUGAGACAGACAGAGAGAGGGGGUGAGACAGAGAGAGAGCGAGAGGGGGUGAGAUACAGAGAGAGGGCGGUGAAACAGACAGAGAGAGGGGGGGUGAGAUACAGAGAGAGAGAGAGGGGGUGAGAUACAGAGAGAGAGAGGGGGUGAGAUACAGAGAGAGAGAGAGGGGGUGAGAUACAGAGAGAGAGAGAGCGGGUGAGAUACAGAGAGAGAGAGGG